rnacentral:rRNA from 1 species
UACGGGGGGUGCGAGCGUUGUUCGGAAUUAUUGGGCGUAAAGCGCGUGCAGGCGAUUUGUUAAGUCUGAUGUGAAAGCCCCGGGCCUAACCUGGGAAGUGCAUUGGAUACUGGCAGAUUUGAAUUCGGGAGAGGGCAGUGGAAUUCCUGGAGUAGGGGUGAAAUCCGUAGAUAUCAGGAAGAACACCGGUGGCGAAGGCGGCUGCCUGGACCGACAUUGACGCUGAGACGCGAAAGCGUGGGUAGCAAACAGG